GGGGAUGUAGCUCAGUUGCUAGAGUGCUUGUCUCCUGUGCACAAAGCCCUGGGUUCGAUCCCCAGCACCA
rnacentral:tRNA from 1 species